UAAUGAUUAUUCUUAUUUAAAUCGUAUGAUUUAGAGCUCCGAUUCAAUCCCCGUCUGGAUUAAUCUAUUUGUACCCUCCUCUUCCUCUCCUUCACCAAGCCCGUGAAAACUAACGGCGUUAACAAUUACAGUAAUAGUAGCAGCAGGCCCGUGUUUCAGUUUCCUAAAACCAGGACAUCUUCUUCGGAUGCGGUAAUUUUGACAAUUACUUCUACUUCCUACUGUAAAUGUAGAAAUAAUUUUGAGGAUUUUCUGUAAAAUAAAAGUAAAAUGUCCCUACAAUGAUUUGAUUUAUAAUUUUGGAUUUUAAAGUUCCGACAGUGCAUUUUGUUUUUAGCCUUGCAUUGGAGUGGAUAUUUGUAAUGAUAAUCAUGCUGAUUGUAUUCUGCAGCAGAUUUUUUAGCAUCAAUAUAGUUAAUAGUUUUAUUUUGUGCAUAUGAGACAAAAAAAGUCCCAGAUCAUUUUCCAGCAAAUUGCAGGAAUUCUGAUAUGACGCAAGAAAUGUAAAUGAAAUUUGAUGUCGCUUUUGGUUAAGUUUCUAAUUUACUUAGGAUCAUGGAAUAACGUUCGUUGAGAUAUGGAAUUCUAAAUAUUUGUAUAUAGCUGUGUGCAUGAUCUCAUCUACUGAUGUAGAUAAAUGAAUUUAGAUUUUUGUAUGCUGUGUUCUGAGGGAUCUUGGGGCUUGCUUUUGUUUUCCUUUCUAUUUAUUUUGAUCGGGUCACUUAAAAUUUAUUGGAUGGAGCUCCAUUGGCUCGAUCAACAUCUACUGAAAGUCUGUCCAUGUCAAUUCGCACAAUGCCUUCACUUCCAACCAGUAGACCAUCACUUAAGACUCGGUUGCCCAUACUGCCAAUUGAUCCUCCUAGCAACAGACAAAAGAAAAGUAUGGAUUCCAUUCUUUAGCUAUUUCCGAACCUAGUUAUCUUAACCUUGCCACAAAUCAGCAUGCACUACUCCCUUUUAAAUAAAACUCUCUCUUUAAAAUUUCUAUAUCACUAUAAAAACUGUCAUCAUGUCGAAAUAAGGGAUGAAAUAUUUAUUAAGUUAAAACCUCAUGUCCAUUAUGCAUUGAACAUUGGGGGGUAUUUCUUCCAUAAUUCCAUUCACAUGCAAAUUUGAGCAGUCAAAGUGCUUCUCUGUAUAGGAGUGUAAGCAUCCUUGUUCUCUGAAUACCGAUCUGUGACAAUGGUUGGAUAGUGUUGCUAUCUUCUUUAUAAGAGCAACAUAUAAUUUCAAUUCAUUUGGUUUAUUUCAUGCUAAUGUAGAUACCAAUGUGAAUUGCAGGUUCUCAACAGAUUUGGCACAAUUAAACUUAAAAGAUAUCGGAGACGAAUGCGCCUCUUCUGCCCUUCGUGAUGAAGUAUGUUAUUUAUAUACCAAAAAAUAAAAAUAAUUGAACCAGUGUUCUGUAUAUAAUACAGUUAAUUUCCUGCUCAGGGAGGAGUUUGUUUUCUGCUUGUCUUUUGUCAAUCUAAUAA
rnacentral:lncRNA from 1 species